rnacentral:rRNA from 1 species
GCGAACGCGAUGACAGUAGGCGCGGGAAGAAGGAUGGGGAAAGCGGGAAUCGGAAUAAUUGGGCGUAAAGCGCACGCAGGAGGGUAGAUAAGUCAGAUGUGAAAUCCCCGGGCUCAACCUGGGAACUUCAGUUGAAACUGUCUGACUAGAGUCUUGUAGAGGGGGGGAGAAUUCCAGGUGUAGCGGUGAAAUGCGUAGAGAUCGGGAGGAAGACCGGUGGCGAAGGCGGCCCCCUGGACAAAGACUGACGCUCAGGUGCGAAAGCGUGGGGAGCAAACAGGAUUAGAUACCCUAGUAGUC